UGGGGAAUAUUGGACAAUGGGCGAAAGCCUGAUCCAGCCAUGCCGCGUGAGUGAAGAAGGCCUUAGGGUUGUAAAGCUCUUUUGGCGGGGACGAUAAUGACGGUACCCGCAGAAUAAGCCCCGGCUAACUUCGUGCCAGCAGCCGCGGUAAUACGAAGGGGGCUAGCGUUGUUCGGAAUCACUGGGCGUAAAGCGCGCGUAGGCGGACUGGUCAGUCGGGGGUGAAAUCCCGGGGCUCAACCUCGGAACUGCCUUCAAUACUGCUAGUCUUGAGUCCGAGAGAGGUGAGUGGAAUUCCUAGUGUAGAGGUGAAAUUCGUAGAUAUUAGGAAGAACACCAGUGGCGAAGGCGGCUCACUGGAUCGGUACUGACGCUGAGGUGCGAAAGCGUGGGGAGCAAACAGG
rnacentral:rRNA from 1 species